rnacentral:rRNA from 1 species
UACGAAGGGUGCAAGCGUUACUCGGAAUUACUGGGCGUAAAGCGUUGCGUAGGUGGUUUGUUAAGUCUGUUGUGAAAGCCCCGGGCUCAACCUGGGAAUGGCAAUGGAUACUGGCAGGCUAGAGUGCGGUAGAGGGUAGUGGAAUUCCCGGUGUAGCGGUGAAAUGCGUAGAGAUCGGGAGGAACACCAGUGGCGAAGGCGGCUACCUGGACCAGCACUGACACUGAGGCACGAAAGCGUGGGGAGCAAACAGG